CAAACGAGGGGAACUGAAACAUCUAAGUACCCUUAGGAAAAGAAAUCAACCGAGAUUCCCCUAGUAGCGGCGAGCGAACGGGGAGCAGCCCUUAAGCUGUUUAGAAUUUAGUGGAAUCCUUUGGGAAGAGGAGCGAUACAAGGUGAUAGCCCUGUACACGACGGAUUCUUUACAGUGAAAUCGAGUAGGUCGGGACACGUGUUAUCUUGACUGAAUAUGGGGGGACCAUCCUCCAAGGCUAAAUACUCCUAACUGACCGAUAGUGAACCAGUA
rnacentral:rRNA from 1 species